rnacentral:rRNA from 1 species
GCGAACGCUGGCGGCAUGGCUAAAGCAUGCAAGUCGUACGGUUAAGGCCCCUUCGGGGGCGUAUAGAGUGGCGAAAGGGCGAGGAAUACGUUCCUACGUACCCCGAGGCCGGGGAUAGUCUGGGGAAACCCGGGUUAAUACCCGAUGCGGUUCGCCGCAAGGCGAAUCAAAGGCCUCGGCCGCCUUGGGAGCGGGGAACGUCCUAUCAGGUUGUUGGUGGGGUAAUGGCUCACCAAGCCGAAGACGGGUAGCGGGUGUGAGAGCACGGCCCGCCGCAUCGGGACUGAGACACUGCCCGGACUCCUACGGGAGGCUGCAGCAACGAAUCUUCCGCAAUGCGCGAAAGCGUGACGGAGCAAUGCCGCGUGCAGGAUGAAGCCCCUCGGGGUGUAAACUGCUGUCAGGGUUCAGCAACUCAAUGAGCAGACCCAAAGGAAGGGCCGGCUAACUUCGU